rnacentral:lncRNA from 1 species
GGGAGAGCCAGUUAGGAGGUCAGGAGUUUCCUGCAGCAAUNAUGGAUGAAUGGAUGGUGAAUGGGGGGGGGGUGGGAGGGAGGGGGGGGGGGGGUGGGCUCCUGGAAUCUGCAGAGCUCCUAUGUAAGAAGAAUGGGAUUUCCAGAUUCUUUACAAGACAAAUACACCAUCCGUCAUUCUCCUCUGGGAAACAAAAGAAUGCAUGCAAGGAAAUGCAGUAGGAACUGUGAUGUUGGUGGUCUUGUGUUAAAAACAACUUGCCGUAUGUCGAACAAGCGAUCCUUAAAUGAUUUGGAGGCGAUCAACACUUACAGUCAAAACACGUUGUCCAGCUUUAUUAGUCGCUCUUGUGGACUGAUGACGGGCCCAUUCGUGCUUCACAGGCCACCAGCCUUGGGUGCACCAGUCGCACACACGAGACACGAAUGUACCUAGAAGGAAUACCAGGCAGCCUGGCUGAAGGGGAGCAGAAGCAAGCAUGGCAAGAGCAGAAAGUGGCCAUGGUCCCAGGAACUUGCUCAGCGUCGCCAGCUGGGAAAAAGCUUUAUGUUACCACUUUCCCAGGGCCUUGGACCGUCGAAUCUCUUCUGGGGAUAGCCUGCUCCCCACGGGGAGCCUGCUUCUCCUCUGCCUAUGUCUCUGCCUCGCUUUCUGGGCCUCUCGUGAAUAAAUGAAAUCUUUAUUUUAUUUAAUAAAAUAAA